UCUGGUUUUCAGGCCACCCAUAUGAGUAAUUGUUUUGGUAUGAGCUAGGCUAUGGGGCGAAGCUCAUGCCAUAACAAUCGGGAGGGUGAGAGUAACCAUGCUGACAUUCAGCGGGUGAAUGGCCCUGAAAUCCACAAAUAUGGCAUGUAGGAGCAACAUAAGGAUGACCUCUAGAAUAAGGAUCAUAAGAGCUAGGCCUAUCCUCAAAAACUACUUCUCGCUGCCGAGUUAAAUCAUCUAAUCGAUGGGAAAUCUUACUUAUCAGGUCUUGAAUACUUUCCGUGUUGUUUGUAGUGUUGCUCGCAUAAGCAUGAUGAUCUGAAUAGUAAGCCAUAUCUGAGAAGAUGCAAUAACCUGCAGAAUGACCAAGCAAAGAAAGAGAAAAUAACUUGAACAAGGGUUAGGGGUUAGAGAUAUAUCACAUAUAUAUAGCACAAAGGGAAAAACAAGAAAACCCUAGUCUAUAACCUCACAGAAUCGCUCGACGCUAGUCCCCGGCAACGGCGCCAAAAUGAUCAUUUGUAAAAUAGCGUGGUUUUUACGCCCCAAACUACGGAUGUCGUGUUCUCCACAGGUACCUAGAACUUCGAAGCACACAUUCGAAACAUUCAGAACAACUGAACAGAUGAAGCAAACCGUAAUGACAACAAGUAGCCACUGGAACAAGGUAAAACAAAAUAAUAUGCAGCAAAGGUAAAGGGUUCAGAAAUAGGACUGUCUCUUUUUUAGUGGUUUUCUUGUGAUCAAACAGACAAGUAACACUAGCACAUGGAAGAUGGCUCAGACAUCACACACAACUCAUGCAACCAAUUAAAGUGACAGCAGCUCACAGGGGAAUAACUACUAACUUAAUAUCCAGCAAAGGGUCACAACAAUUCAGCAAGGAUACAUGAGGAUUCAGCAAAGGUGUACAGGUAAUAGAGUAAAUUUCAGACCCAAUAGUGCAUAUAUUUAGAGAAUAGGAACAAGAGAAGAGAGAGUUCAGAGCCUAUGGGUCUUGAUGAUCUUCAAUUCGAAGCUGUAUAUGUUGCAGGCGAAGAAGAGUAGCAGCAGAGGCACGUUGGAGACGAUCUUCCGUGGAGCACCAGAAGGCCCGACGCCCCUGGCCUCGGUCGAUCCUCUCCCUCUCAGCAGCGAGGAGGAAGAGAGAAGGAGUGGCAGAGAUCGUCGGUCAGGGAGGUCGCAGCAGCAGGAGUUGGAGCUGAGCAGCGGUGGUCGAUCUUGAGGUUGGAGACGAGGAAGUGCAGCAGGUCAGCGUCGUCAUUGGAGAGGAGCGGUGGAUCGCCGGUAAGAUCGGGGCAGCUUCGUGGUGGAUCGGGCACCACCGCCAGUCUCCCGGCACCCUCUUCUCCCUCUCUCUCCUUCGAUCUGGUUCUUCUGCUGGUUCCCCUCAAUCCCCUGGUUCGAUCUGGUGGUAGGUGAGUAGCAUGGAGGACAGCGAGGAGGAGGAGAGAAAAAGGCAGUCGACCCUUGUGGUUUUCUUUCCUUCGACCCCCUCUACUCCUCUGCUCUCUCGUGGCCUCGCGCGUGGGAUUAGACAUGCGUCUGGUUGGUUGCGCUAGACCAGCCCCUUCUCACGCGCACAAGCAGACAUCUGCUCUUCUCUGUCUGACUAGGUGCACAAGUCCCUGGUUCUUUUCAGCUCUCCCCUUCUAGUUCUAUCUUUUCGCACAAGAUGAUCCCUAGCUUGAAGGUUGUAAACACUUUCGAUGAAGUUUGGGUGCCUAAACG
rnacentral:lncRNA from 1 species